UAAGUGUACAUCACUAGCAACUGUUGCAACUGUUCAAACAGAGCUGUUAGGAAAGAAGCCGUGUGAGGUUUUCUGGGGUGUGUUUUUUAAGGAAUGGUCUAAUAACUUUCAACUAUACCUAUUGUCCAGGUAGUCUUUGAUUUCUGUUUCCUUGGCCUCACUGACUGCCCCUGUGAGCAUGACUACCUCCUGCUGUGAGCAUGGUGGGUGCUGUGCACUUGUCCCAGCCCUGGCCCCACGCUGAAGCACUGCAGCUGGGGAGGUGAAAGUCCACUGUGGGCUGGUGGUGGCCACGGGGUGCUGGGCUUGGGGUAGUGCUGCUUUAGGUCACUGCAGGAGCGGAGGUCUUGUUCCUUUCUUGUUCCUUGCUUCAGUGGUUCUGCCUGGCAAGAGGAGGUGUGUAGGGGAGUGCAGGGAGCGCUGGGCCACAGAGCCAUCCUCACAGCUGCCUAGGCCAUAAUUUUUCUGGUGGGCGGUGGGUGGCUUCUGUGGGCUUGCUGGGCUAGGGGAGGAACUGGUUCUCUUUCUACCCCUCUGCCAGUACGUCCUCCUAAGCUUGUUUUCUGCAGUAUUAGGAGGAAGCCGUCAAUGAAGACUGAAACAACCAGUAAUGUCUAAUUUAAAAUUAAAAGACAACACAAUAAAUAAACACAAUAGCCAGAGUAUUGUUGUUUACUUAGCUGUUUUGGGGGAGAAAAACAUGCUCUGGUUAGGGGUUAAAUGCAAAUUCUGCCUGGGUGAAUUAAGGUCUGAUUCCAAUUGAAACCUUAAAAAAUAAAGCUUGCAACAUGUCGUUUAAUAAUUUAUGGAGUUAGUCUUGACUUUUGGUCAAAUGUUUUCGUUACUUAAAUAGCUUUGCUGCCAACUAAAUAUAUCAGUGCAGCAGAGAGGACAGAUGAAGUUCUGAGGUGGUUUUGAUGCCAAAAUGCCAACAUUUGAUGAUAUUUUAGAGCAGGUUGGUGAAUUCCACAGGUUCCAAAAGCAAACCUUUUUCAUCCUGUGUUUGCUCUCUGCCACCUUCACUCCCAUUUACGUGGGUGUCGUCUUCUUCGGGUUCACCCCCGAGCACCGCUGCUUCAGCCCCGGUGUGGCGGAGCUGAGCCGGCGCUGCGGCUGGAGCCUGGCGGAGCAGCUGAACCACACCGUGCCCGAGUGGGGCGGCCACGGGGCCACUUUUGACAGCCGCUGCAGGAGGUACGACGUGGACUGGAACGCAACGGGCCUCAGCUGCACCGACCCCCUGGGCAGCCUCACGGGCAACCGGAGCUCCGUCCCCCUCAGCCCCUGCCAGGACGGGUGGCUCUACGACUACCCAGGGACCUCGCUUGUCACCGAGUUUAACCUGGUGUGCGAGGACUCCUGGAAGUUAGACCUCUUUCAGUCGUCUGUGAACGCUGGCUUUUUUAUUGGCUCCGUAAACGUUGGCUACAUAGCAGACAGGUUUGGCCGUAAAUUUUGCCUCUUAACCACAAUUCUCGCAAAUGUGGUUUGCGGCAUCCUCCUAGUCUUUGUGCCCUCCUACCUGUGGAUAGUGAUUUUCCGCUUCUUGCAAGGGCUGGUCAGCAAGGGCUGCUGGACCGCGGGCUACAUCCUAGUGACGGAAGUCGUCGGGCCACAGUACAGGAGGACGGUGGGGAUUCUCUACCAGACGGCCUUCUCCGUUGGGCUCCUGGUGUUUGAUGCCAUUGCUUAUGUGAUCCCUCACUGGCGGUGGCUGCAGCUCACUGUCACCCUGCCCAGCUGCUUCUUCCUGCUCUUCCUCUGGUUCCUACCGGAGUCUCCCAGGUGGCUGAUAUCUCAAGGAAAAAAUGAUGAAGCCAAGAAAAUUGUCAGUGAUAUAGCUAAAAAAAAUCAGAAAAAGAUGCCUCCCCAUUUUGAGGAUAUUAAAUUUGAAGAUGAUGAUGAGGGCGGAAAGCAGAGUCCUUCGCUAAUUGACCUUGUCAGGACACCACAGAUGAGAAAAAACACAUUCAUUUUAAUGUACAACUGGUUCACGAGCUCCAUCCUCUACCAGGGGCUCAUCAUGCACAUGGGACUAGCUGGUGGGAACAUCUACCUGGAUUUCCUCUAUUCUGCUCUUGUUGAGUUCCCAGCUGCCUUCAUCAUCAUUGUCACCAUUGACCGCGUUGGGCGGCGUUACCCCUGGGCUGCAGCAAACCUGGUGGCUGGGGCUGCCUGCCUUGUCACAGCACUGAUCCCAGCAGACAUACAUUGGCUAAAACUGAUUGCUGCUUGCCUUGGGAGAAUGGGAAUCACAAUGGCUUUUGAAAUGGUUUGCUUUGUAAACACUGAGCUAUAUCCAACAUACAUCAGGUAGGUGCAUCCUUCUCCCAGUGGGUCAUUUGGCCAGGAAAUGUUGAAGCCAAUGUGUAUUUUGUGUUAUACUAAAUGAAAUAAUUCUCAGAACUACACAGGUAGUGCUGAUCAUAAAGCAAGUGGGAGCACAAGUAAGGUGCUUUAAAAGGUAAGUUGAUGAAGAAAACAAAUGUGCUUCAAGGCAGGUGGAAACUCAUGUGGAUGAAAUAAAGGUAAAAGCGGGGACAACCAGGAUGGAUGGGGGAUCUGAAGUCCCAUGUAGUGCUGAGAUUUGUAUCUUAUUUGAAUCAAAAUAACAUUGAAAAGGGUCUGUCCAGAGUGGCUGCUGCUAUGGAGAAUGUACAUUCACCCAAGCCCUUGACCUGAGGACUGGAAUUUUCCUUACUUGUAAGUGGGCUGCAGGGUGUGUAGCUCAGACGUAGACAUAUGCACUACAGGUAACUAAAGCUUGGAUGCUAAUUCUUCAAAGUUUCCUUCUUGCCUGUGCCCGUAGACCAUUGCAUACAGGGAAGAUGUCUAUACUGAACAAUUGAAUCUUUUCUUCACUGGAAAGAAAAUGAUUAUAUGAAGUUACACCACAUCAUAUGAAAAUCUUAUUUCUCUAUCCAUAAUCAACAUAACGGAAGAUAAACUUUCAGAUUUUAUUAAUGGUGUAUAACAACCAGAAGCAUCAUUUGAUACCUUUGUACUAAGUCACCCAAGAGAUACUGAAGCAACAAUUUUCUUUUUACUGUAUCCGGAGAUUCUCCUCUGAUACUUUGGGCCUGAUUCUCUUUUAUCUUUAACCUUUGGAAUUUGCUCACACCUGUGUGAAAAUGCAGGAAUCUCGGGGUGAUGGUCUGCUCUGCCUUGUGCGAUGUUGGUGGAAUUGUUGUCCCAUUUAUUGUCUACAGACUGGUGGAAAUCUGGCAUGAGCUGCCUCUGGUGGUCUUCA